rnacentral:rRNA from 1 species
UUGGAGGGCAAGUCUGGUGCCAGCAGCCGCGGUAAUUCCAGCUCCAAUAGCGUAUAUUAAAGUUGUUGCAGUUAAAAAGCUCGUAGUUGAAUUUCGGGGUUAGUAGGUUGGUCAUGCCACUGGUAUGUACUGGUCUCACUGAUUCCUCCUUCCUGAUGAGCCGUAAUGCCAUUAAUUUGGUGUUGCGAGGAAUCUGGACUGUUACUUUGAAAAAAUUAGAGUGUUUAAAGCAAGCUAACGCUUGAAUACAUUAGCAUGGAAUAAUGAGAUAGGACGUUCGAUCCUAUUUUGUUGGUUUCUAGGAUUGACGUAAUGAUUAAUAGGGAUAGUUGGGGGCAUUAGUAUUCAAUUGUCAGAGGUGAAAUUCUUGGAUUUAUUGAAGACUAACUACUGCGAAAGCAUUUGCCAAGGAUGUUUUCAUUAAUCAAGAACGAAAGUUAGGGGAUCGAAGACGAUCAGAUACCGUCGUAGUCUUAACCAUAAACUAUGCCGACUGGGGAUCGGAUGAUGUUAAUUUUUUAAUGACUCAUUCGGCGCCUUACGGGAAACCAAAGUGUUUGGGUUC